AUACUUACCCGGCAGGGGAGAUACCAUGAUCAAGAAGAUGGUUUACCCAGGGCAAGGCUUAACAAUUGCAUUCCGGUUAGACUGACCCCUGUGAAUUCCCCAAAUGUGGGAAUCUCGACUGCUUAAUUUGUGGUAGCGGGGGACAGGGUUUGCGCUUUCCCCUG